GAUGAACGCUGGCGGCGUGCCUAAUACAUGCAAGUCGAGCGAACGGACGAGAAGCUUGCUUCUCUGAUGUUAGCGGCGGACGGGUGAGUAACACGUGGAUAACCUACCUAUAAGACUGGGAUAACUUCGGGAAACCGUAGCUAAUACCGGAUAAUAUUUUGAACCGCAUGGUUCAAAAGUGAAAGACGGUCUUGCUGUCACUUAUAGAUGGAUCCGCGCUGCAUUAGCUAGUUGGUAAGGUAACGGCUUACCAAGGCAACGAUGCAUAGCCGACCUGAGAGGGUGGUCGCCCACCCUGGAACUGAGCCGCGGUCCAGGCUCCUACGGGAGGCAGCAGUAGGGAAUCUUCCGCAGUGGGCGAGAGCCUGGCGGAGCAGCGCCGCGUGAGUGAUGGAGGUCUUCGGAUCGUAAAGCUCUGUUAUUAGGGAAGAACAUAUGUGUAAGUAACUGUGCACAGCGUGACGGUACCUGGUCAGAAAGCCCCGGCUAACUACGUG
rnacentral:rRNA from 1 species